rnacentral:rRNA from 1 species
CGUGGGUAACCUGCCCAAGAGACUGGGAUAACACCUGGAAACAGAUGCUAAUACCGGAUAACAACACUAGACGCAUGUCUAGAGUUUAAAAGAUGGUUCUGCUAUCACUCUUGGAUGGACCUGCGGUGCAUUAGCUAGUUGGUAAGGUAACGGCUUACCAAGGCAAUGAUGCAUAGCCGAGUUGAGAGACUGAUCGGCCACAUUGGGACUGAGACACGGCCCAAACUCCUACGGGAGGCAGCAGAC